AUUUUUUAUUGUUAUUCAAUAUAAUUUGAUGAAUUUUUUAUUAGUGUUUAAUUUUAUUUAAAGUAAUUGUUUUUUUUUAUUUAUAGAAGAUUUUUAAAGUAAUUGGUCUAUUUAAUUUUAAUAAAAGAAGAUUUUUUUUAUUGUACCUUUUGUAUCAGGGUUAAUAAAUAUAGGUUUUUUUAUUAAUUAUUCCCGAAUUGGUAAGAGCUAAGAUUAAUAUAUAUUUAGUUGUUAAAUAAACUUUUUUAAUAUUAUUUUGGAAAUUAAAUGUUAUUCGUUUAUCAUUAUAUCUGGUUUUUUAAGAAAAAAGUUUAAUUUUAUAAAUUUUAAAAGUUAAGGAAAUUUUUUCUUUUUCUUUUUUUUUUAUUAGGUUAGUAGGGUUAAGCUUAUUAUUUUAUUAUUAAAAUAUUUUUUUUUGGAAAGUUUAAUUUGAUUAGAAUUUUCGAUUUUUUAAAAUAUUUAAUUUUAUGGCUUUUUUUAUAUUUUAUUUUUAUUUAUUUAGUUUUUUAUUGAAAUUUUUUAUUUAAUUUUUUGUUUUAGUAAUAAUGAUUAAAUUAGUAAUUUUUUUUUAAUUGUUUUAAAUUUUCUAGGUUUUUUAAAGGAAUUAGGCAAAUUUAAUUCUUGCUUGUUUAUUAAAAACAUCUCUUUUUGAUAAUGAUUUAAGGUUUGAUCUGCUCAAUGGUUAUAAAUAGCUGCAGUAAGUUAACUGUACGAAGGUAGCGUGAUAAUUUGCUUUUUUAUUGAAAGCUGGUAUGAAUGGUUGGACAAGGAAUUAGCUGUCUUUAAAAUAAUAUUUGAAUUUAACUUUAAAGUUAAAAGGCUUUAAUAAUUUUAUGGGACGAGAAGACCCUAUAGAGUUUAAUUUUUAUUUUUAAGGAAAUUUUUUAUUAUUUACAGUUUUCUUUGAAUGUGAAAUUUGGUUGGGGUAGCUUUAAGAUUAGAUUAAUUCUUAAAUUUUUAUCAUUGAUUUUUGAUUUUAUAUUAUAAAGUAUUAAGUUUAAACUUAAUUACCUUAGGGAUAACAGCGUAAUUUUAAUUGAAAGUUCUUAUUUUAAUUAAAGUUUGCGACCUCGAUGUUGGAUUAAAAUUAAUUUAGGAUGAAGGUGUCUUGAAUAUAAGUCUGUUCGACUUUUAAAAUUUUACAUGAUCUGAGUUUAAAUCGGUGUGAGCCAGGUUGGUUUCUAUCUAUAAAAAUUUUAAAUUUCUUAGUACGAAAGGACUUGUUUAUUUAAUAUAUUAUUUAAUUGUUGAAUUUUAUU
rnacentral:rRNA from 1 species